rnacentral:rRNA from 1 species
CCUACGGGUGGCUGCAGUGGGGAAUAUUGGACAAUGGGCGAAAGCCUGAUCCAGCCAUGCCGCGUGUGUGAAGAAGGCCUUUGGUUGUAAAACACCUUUAGCGAGGAGGAGGCUACUUUGAUUAAUACUCUAGGAUAGUUGGCGUUACUUGCCAGAUAAGGAACGGGUAACCUUUUGCCCGGCAGCGGCGUAAUUCCGAAGGGUCGAGCGGUUAUCGGAUUUACUGGGCGUAAAGCGUGCGUAGGCGGCUUUUUAAGUCGGAUGUGAAAUCCCUGAGCUUAACUUAGGAAUUGCAUUCGAUACUGGGAAGCUAGAGUAUGGGAGAGGAUGGUAGAAUUCCAGGUGUAGCGGUGAAAUGCGUAGAGAUCUGGAGGAAUACCGAUGGCGAAGGCAGCCAUCUGGCCUAAUACUGACGCUGAGGUACGAAAGCAUGGGGAGCAAACAGGAUUAGAUACCCCUGUAGUC